GAUCAAACUGCUCAUCAUCAUCAUUCAACUUACUGAAAAUCUCCAGUAGCAAUCUUUUUUAAUUUUUGUUUUGGAUGGUAUCAAAGGUGUAAGAUUUGAAGUGGUGGAAAAAACAUCUUUCUCUAAUCCUCCAUUACCCAUAAUAUGGUGAUCGGUGGAAGUGCAAGUAAGUCUCACACGUCGACAAAGCCACCAGAGUUUAUCCAGCUUGAACCAUAUGUGGAGAAAAAUAGAUCGAAACAUCGAAACGAUCCCGCCAAGAUGAAGAAGCCGAGGAAAGUUGCUCGUAAAAGCUCUAAAAAGAUCAUCGAAAAUCUUCAAGGACUGUGGAGUGUUCGCAACUGACAAUGCAGAGUAUUUGAAUUGAGAUACGCUUCACUCCUUUAGAAUUAUGGAGUGGUCAAGAAAAAAAAAAGGUUAUGAUAGCGACAAUAAAGAUCCUCCAAGAUCAA